GAGUUUGAUUCUGGCUCAGGACGAACGCUGGCGGCGUGCCUAAUACAUGCAAGUCGAACGAACGGAGAAAGAAGCUUGCUUUUUUCAACUGUUAGUGGCGAACGGGUGAGUAACACGUGGGUAACCUGCCCAUCAGAGGGGGAUAACAUUCGGAAACGGAUGCUAAAACCGCAUAGGUUCCUUAGUUGCAUGACUGAGGAAGGAAAAGAGGCGUAAGCUUCUGCUGGUGGAUGGACCCGCGGUGCAUUAGCUAGUUGGUGAGGUAACGGCUCACCAAGGCGAUGAUGCAUAGCCGACCUGAGAGGGUGAUCGGCCACAUUGGGACUGAGACACGGCCCAAACUCCUACGGGAGGCAGCAGUAGGGAAUCUUCCGCAAUGGACGCAAGUCUGACGGAGCAACGCCGCGUGAGUGAAGAAGGUUUUCGGAUCGUAAAACUCUGUUGUUAGAGAAGAAUAAGCAUAAUAGUAACUGAUUAUGCCGUGACG
rnacentral:rRNA from 1 species